CAGAGCCUCAAAGAGCACCCAGCAUAACUGUGGGAGAAUAGUAAGCAUUGGACACAAAAUGGUUUAGGCAAAUAAUGAUGAACAAAAAUGGUCAGUCUGUGUUCCUGCUGACCCAGCACAGUGGGGACGCUGUGUAGGACAUGACCUUUGGGGGAAAGGACACAAGAACUCAGCGUGGGGGAUCCAGAAAAGAAGUCGCACGUAUUGAAGCCAGUAACGCCAAGCCAGUGAAUUCUCCUUGACGAGAAAGACCCACUUACUCUGCAGAAGAGAUAUAUGACAGCUGACAAUCCCUGGAGGAGAAUCUUUCUACUAAAUUGGUAAGGGAUGCUAAGCAAAUGAUGUGGACUCAGGAAACAACGCAUUUCAUGAUAUACGGUUGCCUCUCAAGGUGAAUUCGAGACCCCUCUUGAAUUACAAAGAGUUGAAAACAUUCAAGUACGGAAUAAACUAUUACUGCGAAUACGCUCAUAUGACACAAGAACAAUCUCUGAGCUUCUUUGAGGAUGUCCAGAUGACUGCUGACUGCACUAAUUGCAUCAAUCGUGUAUCCAUACAGGUUCUUUCUAUAAAAUAGUGGUCGCUAGUUAUGAGGCGUUAAGCCUUCAUGGAUAUAAACAGACUAUUCCACCUAAGUGAUCUGGCAGAAGCUUAGUUUUCUACCACAACAUCCACCGUCCUCCCUCCCUCCCUUCCUAGCUGGUCAGAAAAGCUACUCAGAAUAAAGACUACAUUUCCCAGCCAUCUUUGCAGCUAGGUUUAUCCACCUGACUAAAUUCCACCGUAACUCCAGGUUGAAGAACUUCUACUUAUAGGCAUCUAUUCAACGAAGACGAAUCCUGGAAUGGGGAUGGAAAUGAUGGCUCAUGUCUUAGCAAACUACCAAACUGAUCCGAGAGGACAGGGAAGUCAGUGUGGGCGGCUCUAAGGAGCCUCCCUCUCUACAGCUGCGGCUCAGAGGAUUACGGCGCUUCAUCCACAAGGCAACAUUGCACAAGUAGCUUUUGAACAAAAGUCAUGGAUACUAUUAAUGAUAUGUUCCCACACACAUUUAGUGUCGUCUCAAAAUUCACGCUGUCAACUGUCUCUAGGAAUCAUUUCCAUCUGAGAACAGACCACACAAAGACACAGUGAAACUCAGUUUCUGCAGAAUUUGAUUUCAUUUGAGUUACUGGGGAACAAAGCAAUUAGACAAUGAAUAAUAGCUCAAGACAGGCUGAAGCUGAAGAUUUCUGCAAAAGAAUGAAGAGGAAACGUUUUGAUCCUGAGCAGAUGUUCUCCCUAGAUUGCUUCACCUGAGGUUGAUUGACUUUUGGAAACGAGAUUUGUUCCCAGUGCUUUGUGAGUCUCUUGUUGGAAGGACUGUCUUUAAAUUAAAGCAAUUAGAGUUACUUUAUAAGAUUUACCCAAAUAUAAGAGCUGAAGAGAAUAAUUCAAAUUGAUCAGAAGAAAAUACUCAAUUACUGACAAAUGUCAAUUACAUCAAUAGGAGGAGAAAAUGUGUAAUUGUAAGCAGCUGAACUAAAAUAUCUCUGUGACAUUUUGCUGGUGACUCCAGCCCUGUGAGAUCUGAGUGGCUCAGGAAUCAAAUUCUCCCACAAACCUGAGGAAGCCUUUUAUUCUUAAUGCCAACAGGAUGCCCCAUGCCCAGAAUGUCAAAUCUGAACACCAAUGGAAUGCAUUUUAUAAACAAAUUGAAAAAGGACAAUCUUUAACAGAAUUGUUGUUCUCUAGGCAGAUUAGUUGUGCUUCAAAUACAAAAUGAAAUAUUAGAGAACAAAAUUAUUUUUAAACAGCUAAUACUAGUAGAAAAUAAAAGGCU
rnacentral:lncRNA from 1 species